GACUGCGAAAAUCUCGGCUACGGCGAAAAGAGGAGCUUCUUCUGCCUUCCAAUCUCUCUCUCUCUCUCUCCUCUCUCUGUCUCUCUGUCUUUCUUCUUAGCGUACAGCUACCGGACCACCAAAGAGGGUUUGAAACUUUGGAGCGCGAGAUUUCAUUUUUUAGCCCAUGCCACUUUCCACCAAGUUAGGACUACGCUUCAACAGUGGGGACACGGAAAAUGGAGUUCGCUCUUAAAUUAACUCCCGCGACUGCGCUGAACGAAGCGGCCGCGAUGUGCCCCUCGCACAUACACUGGAGUUUGGUGCAACUGCAGCUGCAGCUGCAGCAGGACGACGGGCAGCGAGACGAGAGGAGCUUCGUUUAACGACCGCUCGAAUGGGCUUUCGAAGAAGAUAGGCAACAUGAUCUUCGGGAGAUACCGUCUUAAACGUGACGUGGGCAAGGAGGGAACUACUUGUAGGCAGUGGGAUUAUAUCUUCCCGUCGCGCAGCCAGGAUACAGGACGAGCCUGGGGACCCUAUGUACCACCCAUGCGUGGGGUUAACCAACAUUUACAUAGUCGCAAACGUAGACUGAAUAACAAUGCUCGAAACGGAGCCGAAGCCAGCUGUGCCGUUCCACCAAGCGGACGUAUUCGCGCUAAGACGCAGGAUUUGCAACGUGUCCACGAGGAAUGGAUAAUUUCACUCCUACCUCGGACAGUGAGUGAGAGAAACACGAAAAGCUGUGGCCCAAUCCAGUUAUUUGAAUCACCCUGCACAAGAAUGCAAUUUUAAUCAAUGAAUUAUAGCAA